UGCUUAUAAAAAGGAGAAAAUUUGGCAUCGUUUGUUUAGUACGCGAAGAAAGCAUAUGUUGAUGAAUAAUUAUUGUAAAUUUAAAACAAUAUUAUCAUUGUAUAUAGUGGAAAUAGUAGAAAGCCAUUAAACGUAACUAAUUUUAUGUGUAAAUUUAAGAACUCAAGCAAUCUAUACUUACAUUUCAUGUUACGUAUCAUGAAAAGGGACUUUUAAAGUACAUAUGCAGAUCUUUAAUUAUUUUUUCUAAAUAAAAAAAAUAAAAAACAAGAGUCGUCAUAAAAUCGUACAGUCACAACAUUCAUGCGUAUAAUAAAGACAAUUAAUGAGACAUUUAUCGCAUUUAUUAUCUUUCGACGACUGGCUUCCAGAAUCGAUAUCGAAUUCGACUUUCUUGUAACUCCUUUGGUUUUCCCAAUAUGAAAGAGUCGGUAACGAAGAGGACGGCAUUAGCGACGUAGUAGCCAUCUUUGUUUCAUAUUGAACUGCACUGGGUUUCUCGUGUUCGGCCCUCUUGAUCUCGGCCAUUUGCGUCGAAUUGUUUGGCGAUGAUACUCUGAUGAUAUAAAUCCAAAAUUUAUCUUUU